CUCAUCAACAGUCUCAAUACCUCCCUCUGUGAUUCCUUGGACUUGGGACCUUUGGGAUCUGGUGCUGGAUGAAACCUCAUGCCUGCCUGGAGGAAGCGUGUAACCAGAGACAUCUCUUUGCCUGCUAUUACAUCAUAAAUUACAGACGGCUCAUUGACUGUGGCGGGAUUACGACAGUAUUGGAGGCAUUGGUAGAUAAAUUGCAGAGGGAGGAAUUUCAUCAGUGUCUGCCUGGUUUAGGGGUUUUGUUACAGGUUUAAGGGGUGACAGUUCUGUGGCCAGCUGUUGAAGAAGACUUGAGGUGCCUUUUUGGUCCCAGGAAAUUGUUAGUAAGAUAAGAUGCACAGAAAUCAGCUUUUAUUUUCAUGUGUAUAAAUGCUGUACCCCUAAAGUAUGUAGGUACCAUUAUCUAUGUGUUACUUCCUAAGGUCUA